AUUCUUGGUCAUUUAGAGGAAGUAAAAGUCGUAACAAGGUUUCCGUAGGUGAACCUGCGGAAGGAUCAUUAACGAGAUUUUCGUCGAGGAGGGUUGUAGCUGGCCUCACUUGGCACGUGCACGCCCGGAAUCGCGGAUCUCACCCUCCACACCUGUGCACAUCCCGCAGCUUUGCGACGCAGAUGAUAUGGAAUUUUUUCUGGUUCGGAUGUGUCCUGGGCUUGCGAGCUUUUUUUUAUCACACACACUUUUUGUCAAGUAUCAGAAUGUUGCAGCGCAUAAAAGCGCGAAAUAAUACAACUUUCAGCAACGGAUCUCUUGGCUCUCGCAUCGAUGAAGAACGCAGCGAAAUGCGAUAAGUAAUGUGAAUUGCAGAAUUCAGUGAAUCAUCGAAUCUUUGAACGCACCUUGCGCUCCUUGGUAUUCCGAGGAGCAUGCCUGUUUGAGUGUCAUGAAAUUAUCAACUGCCUUGGUGGGAUUUUGCUCCCGAAAGGGUGAAGUUGGAUUUGGAGGAAGAUUUUGCUGGCGGCUCUUUGAUGGGCUUUGUUGGCACCUCUAGAAAGCAUGAGCCUUCCUGUGCACGAGCGAAGCGACUCUCUGAUGUGAUAACCAUCUACGUCGGAAGGGUCGCGUUCGGAUUGAGCAUGAAUGGAUUGCAAAACGCGGAUCGCAUCUUUCAUGAUGCGUCCUUGACAAAUUCGACCUCAAAUCAGGUAGGACUACCCGCUGAACUUAAGCAUAUCA
rnacentral:rRNA from 1 species